GCCCAAACGAACAAUCGAGAUCUGAGUUGCAACUGCCCCCAAAUGCCGAGGGGUCCAGUUCAAUUGUUCAGGGACAAUUAAUGAUGUCAAUUAAAGAAAAAGCAAGAUCGACAUGUUGCGGCAGAAUCGAAAUACUUGUUACUCAAAAAUACCGGUAAUUUGAGGUAACAAGAAGCGAGGGGUAAACAAAAGAUGAGAUUGGAAGGGCAAUGCACACUGCCGAAGGGGGCACCAUUGAAGAAGUAGAGUUGGCUGCAGGCGAAAGUGGAGGGCAAGGCAAGGCAUGGUAAGGUAAGGUAUGGUAUGGUAGGGUAUUGUGUUGUAUAAUACUGGAUAGGAUAGUAUGGUAUGAUAUGGAAUUGUUAAGACCAAUAAACUAAAGAAGAAUGGGUAAACGUAGGGAGAGGAG